CCUACGGGGGGCAGCAGUGAGGAAUAUUGGUCAAUGGACGAGAGUCUGAACCAGCCAAGUAGCGUGAAGGAUGACUGCCCUAUGGGUUGUAAACUUCUUUUAUAUGGGAAUAAAAUGUUCCACGUGUGGGAUUUUGUAUGUACCAUAUGAAUAAGGAUCGGCUAACUCCGUGCCAGCAGCCGCGGUAAUACGGAGGAUCCGAGCGUUAUCCGGAUUUAUUGGGUUUAAAGGGAGCGUAGGUGGAUUGUUAAGUCAGUUGUGAAAGUUUGCGGCUCAACCGUAAAAUUGCAGUUGAAACUGACAGUCUUGAGUACAGUAGAGGUGGGCGGAAUUCGUGGUGUAGCGGUGAAAUGCUUAGAUAUCACGAAGAACUCCGAUUGCGAAGGCAGUUCACUGGACUGCAACUGACACUGAGGCUCGAAAGUGUGGGUAUCAAACAGGAUUAGAUACCCGUGUAGUC
rnacentral:rRNA from 1 species